ACCCUUGUGACGGCUUGUGACCGCUUGUGACUGGGCAAAACAGUAAUCGCUGCAAACAACGAACUCAGCAGCUCAGCAGGCCAGGCCAAUAAGAUACCGUGGUAUCGGUGGAUACAUAGUAAUAUACAAGAAAUAGGAAUAAUUAAGAUCUCUGCUGUUAAUAAUAAAAAGAAUAAGAUCAGGGAGCAUAAAAUAAUAGUUUGAAGGAGUUUGAUGGCAUCGCAGUGGAGCAUUGCAGUUCAUGAUGAUGAUGAUGAUGAUGAAUUUAGCCAGCUGGAACAAGGAGGUCCUGUCUGGACACAGUUUUGGCAUAAACAAGAACAGUUAUGAAGAGUUAAUUGUGGACAUGAUCAAGAGAGGUCUUGUUUUGAAUCACAGCAAAUCACCAUGUGAGGAGAACUUCAUAUCAGAUAGAAAGGGUGAAAUCAUAAUGUUCAUAAAAAUGGAAGGACCAAAAACUUUGUAACGUGGCUGCAAGUAGCCAAGGCCUGCGACUCACCAGCACAAGACUUCAAGUGACUCGUCUGCCCUAAGAGGAAGGAGUUGUUGCUGUCCUAUCAUCCAUGCAUGGCUCUUUCAGAUAGCCUUUUCUCUUGUGGCUAUGCCACCAGAAUCUCAGCAUGUUAAGA